CCGAUGAUUCGCUUAGACCUUCUACUGAUAUAUCAAUAUUACCGACAUAUAAUCAGUCAAUCUGCUCAACAUACUAUAACCAUUAUGAGCGAUUAUCGACUACGUGUCAUGAUAAUUAGUAGAAAUUAACGAUCCACUAACUCUACAAUUAUGAUCCAAUAAUUUAGUACCAUAAAAGUGGGACCACGUGCUCGACAGUUACAUCAGAAUCAUCUAUAAAAAGAGGGU
rnacentral:lncRNA from 1 species